GCGGCGGACGGGUGAGUAACACGUGGGCAACCUGCCCUGCAGACUGGGAUAACUUCGGGAAACCGGAGCUAAUACCGGAUAACACCGAAAACCGCAUGGUUUUCGGUUGAAAGGCGGCUUUUAGCUGUCACUGCAGGAUGGGCCCGCGGCGCAUUAUCUAGUUGGUGAGGUAACGGCUCACCAAGGCGACGAUGCGUAGCCGACCUGAGAGGGUGACCGGCCACACUGGGACUGAUACACGGCCCAGACUCCUACGGGAGGCAGCAGUAGGGAAUCUUCCGCAUUGGACGAAAGUCUGACGGAGCAACGCCCCGUGAGCGAAGAAGGUCUUCGGAUCGUAAAGCUCUGUUGUUAGGGAAGAACAAGUAUCGUUCGAACAGGGCGGUACCUUGACGGUACGUGACGAGGAAGCCACGGCUAACUACGUGCCAGCAGCCGCGGUAAUAC
rnacentral:rRNA from 1 species